rnacentral:rRNA from 1 species
CCUACGGGAGGCAGCAGUGGGGAAUAUUGGGCAAUGGGCGCAAGCCUGACCCAGCAACGCCGCGUGAAGGAUGAAGGUUUUCGGGUUGUAAACUUCUUUUCUCAGGGACGAAGCAAGUGACGGUACCUGAUGAAUAAGCCACGGCUAACUACGUGCCAGCAGCCGCGGUAAUACGUAGGUGGCAAGCGUUAUCCGGAUUUACUGGGUGUAAAGGGCGUGUAGGCGGGAAUGCAAGUCAGAUGUGAAAACAAUGGGCUCAACCUGUGGAGUGCAUUUGAAACUGUAGUUCUUGAGUACUGGGGAGGCAGGCGGAAGUGCUGGUGUAGCGGUGGAAUGCGGAGAUAUCAGGAGGAACACCAGUGGCGAAGGCGGUCUGCUGGACAUCAACUGACGCUGAGGCGCGAAAGCGUGGGGAGCAAACAGGAUUAGAUACCCUGGUAGUC